rnacentral:lncRNA from 1 species
GGAAGGCGGGGCCUGGCCGUCACUCAACAAGGCCCCGCCCAUCAGGGCUGGCCCACGCUCGCGGCGCGCCUGCCCAGGAAGGUCUCGUGAAGGGGUCGGGGCGGAGCUACGCGCGCGGCGCUCCGAAGCCGUCAGGCUGACGCAGGUCUCCCCCCGCCUCCCCGCCUCCCGCGGCCCCGCCCACGCUAUUUAAACCACUGGACUCAAUAUGGCGGCGCGCACUCGGACGCUUGACCCCGGCGUCCCCGGACGCGGGCUGAUUCAGAGCGCGCCGAAAACUCGGUCACUGGGCAGCCUGGAUGAGCAGCAUGACCACGGGAGCCUUCGCUCAAAGGAAACCUGAGAUCCCACGCUGUUACCACACCUGCUGGUGCACGUGGCCGGAUGUGGGAGCCCCUCAGUUGGGAAGUUUACGUUGCGUCAGUCCCAGCAGACGGCAGUAAGGAUAGCUGUUCUUCUGGUGGAGGGAACAGAUGAUUGGUCAGCUAUACAUCUGGAUCCGUCUCUGGUCCAACCACUGAUCACUGAUGAGGCUCUUCAGCAGUUCGAACGAGAGAGGCCAGGCUGCCAAGGCGUACUGAGCAUGUGUCACGCCCUCGGGGUGAGUAGUUUGACAAGGACCGUGUGUAUUUCCAUCUUGAAACUGGGAUACAUUUUCUCAGUCAUAUCCAUUCGAUUUAAAAUUACUCAGUUUGCAUGGGGAUUGACGCACUCAUGGACCACACGUUUAAUUGAUGGGAGUUAAGAUGAGUCAGCACUUCUUUUUCCUGGUUCGUGCUGACAGUUCAAAUCCAGGCUCUACCGCUUAGAGCUGUGUGACCUUGGGAAGGUUACUUGACAUCUCUGUUCCUCAUUUUCUAAUCUAUACGUGAUGGAUAAUGAUUACGCCCAAAUUAUAGAAUGCGUCUGAGGCUAAAUGACUUAAUGCAGGUAAGGAGCACAGAAUACUGUUUGUCACAUAGUGAGAACUGUAUAAUUAUUGUAUUGUCACUAUCCUAAAACAUAAAACAUUAACAUAAAAAACAUGUAAUUCAGCAGAGAAGAUAGUCUAUAAAGUAGUUGUUAUUAUAUACAAGAUGAUGAUUAGACUUAAAAUUCUAAACAUAUCUGAAUCCAAAUGAGUCCAUAUUGCAAAUAACAGAGAACCCUGUCACAUGGUACUGAUUUUAUUAUUCCUAACCGUGAUGGUAUUAAUAUGAAGAAUAUUUAGAUUAUUAGAUCAAACUAAUAUUUAGUUUAUCAUCUAUCACAAAGGUUUCCAUUAUUUUCGAUGUUUUAAAUAUGUUGAAAAACAUGAAUUACAACAAUGAGGAUGAAAUUAAAUGGUGAAAAUGGAAAUGUAGUCAUUUAGAAUAGUUUUUCUGUCUUCAGAUGAAAAAUAGAUCCUGCAGGAAGCUAGGUCCUCGGAACUGAGUACGUUCUAAAAUCUAAUUUGUUUUUCUUGCAGUUUGUAGAUGUGGAAUUGUUAAAAUGUUCAUAUCUUUGAGCUAAUGUGGCAUAACAAAUUUAAUUUGCAAAACAAAGAUGACGUGUCUGGAACAUGAUCCAUAAUCACUUUUUUCCCCUCUUUCAGCUUCACGUUGUAGGGGCUCCAUUAGACUACUCAAGCAUAUUUUGUGACUCUGUAGAAAUUUCCAAAUAAAUAAAGUCUUGGAAAAUCA